rnacentral:sRNA from 1 species
UAGGACGUAGAGGGGAUGGGUUGUUGG